UUCGCAAGAUGAAUGAGCUGCCAACAAUAUAUGAAUUGGUUAUUGUAAUGAAAAAAAUCAAGAAGUUGCUACUGAAAAUGCCAAGAAACGAGUAAAGGAUAAAUCAACAGUUUCAUAUCACAGCAACAAGAAUUCAAUGUCGAAUUCUGAAGUGGUACAGUUGAAAACCUUCAGCUUGGACUCUCAAUGGAUCCUCUCUGACUUGAUCCAUGUUUUAGCUUUCAAUCAUAUCCACACCCAUUAUAAAUGUGU
rnacentral:lncRNA from 1 species